rnacentral:rRNA from 1 species
UACGUAGGGGGCAAGCGUUGUCCGGAUUUAUUGGGCGUAAAGAGCGCGUAGGCGGCCUUGUAAGUCUGUUGUGAAAACUCGAGGCUCAACCUCGAGACGCCGGUGGAAACUGCAAAGCUAGAGUCCGGAAGAGGAGAGUGGAAUUCCUGGUGUAGCGGUGAAAUGCGCAGAUAUCGGGAGGAACACCCGUGGCGAAGGCGGCUCUCUGGGACGGUACUGACGCUGAGGCGCGAAAGCGUGGGGAGCGAACAGG